rnacentral:rRNA from 1 species
GAUGAACGCUGGCGGCGUGCCUAAUACAUGCAAGUCGAGCGAACAGACGAGGAGCUUGCUCCUCUGACGUUAGCGGCGGACGGGUGAGUAACACGUGGAUAACCUACCUAUAAGACUGGGAUAACUUCGGGAAACCGGAGCUAAUACCGGAUAAUAUAUUGAACUGCAUGGUUCAAUAGUGAAAGACGGUUUUGCUGUCACUUAUAGAUGGAUCCGCGCCGCAUUAGCUAGUUGGUAAGGUAACGGCUUACCAAGGCAACGAUGCGUAGCCGACCUGAGAGGGGGAUCGGCCACACUGGAACUGAGACACGGUCCAGACUCCUACGGGAGGCAGCAGUAGGGAAUCUUCCGCAAUGGGCGAAAGCCUGACGGAGCAACGCCGCGUGAGUGAUGAAGGUCUUCGGAUCGUAAAACUCUGUUAUUAGGGAAGAACAAAUGUGUAAGUAACUAUGCACGUCUUGACGGUACCUAAUCAGAAAGCCACGGCUAACUACGUG